rnacentral:rRNA from 1 species
UUUAGUGGCGAACGGGUGCGUAAUACGUGAGAAUCUGCCCUUAGGAGGAGAAUAACUUCUGGAAACGGUUGCUAAGUCUCCAUAUGCCGAGAGGUGAAAUAGUUUAUACUGCCUAGGGAUGAGCUCACGCCUGAUUAGCUUGUUGGUAAGGUAAUGGCUUACCAAGGCCACGAUCAGUAGCUGGUUUGAGAGAACGAUCAGCCACACUGGGACUGAGACACGGCCCAGACUCCUCCGGGAGGCAGCAGUGAGGAAUUUUCCGCAAUGGGCGAAAGCCUGACGGAGCAAUACCGCGUGAGGGAUGAAGGAUUUUGGUCUGUAAACCUCUUUUCUCAAGAAAGAAGUUCUGACGGUACUUGAGGAAUAAGCAUCGGCUAACUCCGUGCCAGCAGCCGCGGUAAUACGGGGGAUGCAAGCGUUAUCCGGAAUCAUUGGGCGUAAAGCGCCUGUAGGUUGUUUAAUAAGUCUGUUGUUAAAGACUAGGGCUUAACCCUAGGAAAGCAAUGGAAACUGCUAGACUUGAGUAUGAUAGGGGUAGAGGGAAUUUCUAGUGUAGCGGUGAAAUGCGUAGAUAUUAGGA